rnacentral:rRNA from 1 species
UACGUAGGCAGCAAGCGUUGUUCGGAGUUACUGGGCGUAAAGAGUGUGUAGGCGGUGCUCUAAGUUCGGUGUGAAAUCUCCCGGCUCAACUGGGAGGGUGCGCCGAAAACUGGAGUGCUGGAGCGCGGGAGAGGAAAGCGGAAUUCCUGGUGUAGCGGUGAAAUGCGUAGAUAUCAGGGGGAACACCGGCGGUGUAGACGGCUUUCUGGACCGCAGCUGACGCUGAGACACGAAAGCGUGGGUAGCAAACAGG